CCUACGGGGGACAGCAGUGGGGGAUAUUGCACAAUGGGGGAAACCCUGAUGCAGCGACGCCGCGUGUGGGAAGACGGUCCUCUGGAUUGUACACCACUGUCCCCAGGGACGAAGAUGACGGUACCUGGGGAGGAAGCUCCGACUAACUACGUGCCAGCAGCCGCAGUAAUACGUAUGGAGCGAGCGUUGUCGGGAAGUACGGGGUGUAAAGGGAGCGGAGGCGGGACUGAAAGUUGGGUGUCAACUCUACCGGAUCAACCGGUAGCCGCACUCAAAACUGCAGUUCUUGAGUGAAGUAGAGGUAGGCGGAAUUCCUAGUGUAGCGGUGAAAUGCGUAGAUAUUAGGAGGAACACCAGUGGCGAAGGCGGCCUGCUGGGCUUUUACUGACGCUGAGGCUCGAAAGUGUGGGGAGCAAACAGGAUUAGAUACCCCGGUAGUC
rnacentral:rRNA from 1 species